rnacentral:rRNA from 1 species
AGGUAACGGCUUACCAAGGCAACGAUGCAUAGCCGACCUGAGAGGGUGAUCGGCCACACUGGAACUGAGACACGGUCCAGACUCCUACGGGAGGCAGCAGUAGGGAAUCUUCCGCAAUGGGCGAAAGCCUGACGGAGCAACGCCGCGUGAGUGAUGAAGGUCUUCGGAUCGUAAAACUCUGUUAUUAGGGAAGAACAUAUGUGUAAGUAACUGUGCACAUCUUGACGGUACCUAAUCAGAAAGCCACGGCUAACUACGUGCCAGCAGCCGCGGUAAUACGUAGGUGGCAAGCGUUAUCCGGAAUUAUUGGGCGUAAAGCGCGCGUAGGCGGUUUUUUAAGUCUGAUGUGAAAGCCCACGGCUCAACCGUGGAGGGUCAUUGGAAACUGGAAAACUUGAGUGCAGAAGAGGAAAGUGGAAUUCCAUGUGUAGCGGUGAAAUGCGCAGAGAUAUGGAGGAACACCAGUGGCGAAGGCGACUUUCUGGUCUGUAACUGACGCUGAUGUGCGAAAGCGUGGGGAUCAAACAGGAUUAGAUACCCUGGUAGUC